rnacentral:rRNA from 2 species
GCAGUGUACCCGCGGCAAGACGGAAAGACCCCGUGAACCUUUACUAUAGCUUGACACUGAACAUUGAGCCUUGAUGUGUAGGAUAGGUGGGAGGCUUUGAAGCGUGGACGCCAGUCUGCGUGGAGCCGACCUUGAAAUACCACCCUUUAAUGUUUGAUGUUCUAACGUGGAUCCGUAAUCCGGGUUGCGGACAGUGUCUGGUGGGUAGUUUGACUGGGGCGGUCUCCUCCUAAAGAGUAACGGAGGAGCACGAAGGUUGGCUAAUCCUGGUCGGACAUCAGGAGGUUAGUGCAAUGGCAUAAGCCAGCUUGACUGCGAGCGUGACGGCGCGAGCAGGUGCGAAAGCAGGUCAUAGUGAUCCGGUGGUUCUGAAUGGAAGGGCCAUCGCUCAACGGAUAAAAGGUACUCCGGGGAUAACAGGCUGAUACCGCCCAAGAGUUCAUAUCGACGGCGGUGUUUGGCACCUCGAUGUCGGCUCAUCACAUCCUGGGGCUGAAGUAGGUCCCAAGGGUAUGGCUGUUCGCCAUUUAAAGUGGUACGCGAGCUGGGUUUAGAACGUCGUGAGACAGUUCGGUCCCUAUCUGCCGUGGGCGCUGGAGAACUGAGGGGGGCUGCUCCUAGUACGAGAGGACCGGAGUGGACGCAUCACUGGUGUUCGGGUUGUCAUGCCAAUGGCACUGCCCGGUAGCUAAAUGCGGAAGAGAUAAGUGCUGAAAGCAUCUAAGCACGAAACUUGCCCCGAGAUGAGUUCUCCCUGAGACUUUAAGUCUCCUGAAGGAACGUUGAAGACGACGACGUUGAUAGGCCGGGUGUGUAAGCGCAGCGAUGCGUUGAGCUAACCGGUACUAAUGAACCGUGAGGCUUAACCUUACAACGCCGAAG